AGAGUUUGAUCAUGGCUCAGGGUAAACGCUGGCGGCGUGCCUAAAACAUGCAAGUCGCACGGGUCAUCCUUCGGGAUGGUCAGUGGCAGACGGCUGAGUAACGCGUGGGUGACGUACCUGUUGGUGGGGAAUAACUGCCCGAAAGGAUGGCUAAUUCCGCAUACGCCUGGUGCUGCAUUGGACCAGGGAAAGCCGCAAGG
rnacentral:rRNA from 1 species